rnacentral:pre_miRNA from 1 species
AUCAUACUCCCUCCAUUCCAUAUUAGUUGACGCUCAAACAGAUGUAUAUAGACGCAUUUCAGUGCUAGAUACAUCCAUUUGAACGUCAACUAAUAUGGAAUGGAGGGAGUAGUAA